rnacentral:rRNA from 1 species
GAUGAACGCUGGCGGCGUGCCUAAUACAUGCAAGUCGAGCGAAUGGAUUAAGAGCUUGCUCUUAUGAAGUUAGCGGCGGACGGGUGAGUAACACGUGGGUAACCUGCCCAUAAGACUGGGAUAACUCCGGGAAACCGGGGCUAAUACCGGAUAACAUUUUGAACCGCAUGGUUCGAAAUUGAAAGGCGGCUUCGGCUGUCACUUAUGGAUGGACCCGCGUCGCAUUAGCUAGUUGGUGAGGUAACGGCUCACCAAGGCAACGAUGCGUAGCCGAACUGAGAGGGUGAUCGGCCACACGGGGACUGAGACACGGCCCAGACUCCUACGGGAGGCAGCAGUAGGGAAGCUUCCGCAAUGGACGAAAGUCUGACGGAGCAACGCCGCGUGAGUGAUGAAGGCUUUCGGGUCGUAAAACUCUGUUGUUAGGGAAGAACAAGUGCUAGUUGAAUAAGCUGGCACCUUGACGGUACCUAACCAGAAAGCCACGGCUAACUACGUGCCAGCAGCCGCCGCAG